rnacentral:lncRNA from 1 species
GCUAUUGUUAUUAGGUUAGUGCUAUGUUAUUAGGGUUAGUAAUAUUUAGAAUUAGGUAAGGGUUAGGGCUAGGAGAAUAAGAAGAGGAGGAGAGGAGAAGAAUAGGAAAAAUAGAAUAAGAGGAGAAGUAGAAGAACAGGAGAAGUAGAAGAAAAAAAGGAGAAGAAGAACAGGAGAAGAAGAAGAAGAAGAAGAAGAAGAAGAAGAAC